ensembl:misc_RNA Metazoa_SRP Metazoan signal recognition particle RNA
GUCGGGCGCGGUGGCGCGCACCUGUAGUCCCAGCUACUCGGGAGGCUGAGGCCGGAGGUUCGCUUGAGUCCAGGAGUUCUGGGCUGUCGUGCGCUACGCCGAUCGGGUGUCCGCACUAAGUUGGGCAUCAAUAUGGUGACCUCCCGGGAGCGGGGGACCACCAGGUUGCCUAAGGAGGGGUGAACCGGCCCAGGUCAGAAACGGAGCAGGUCAAAACUCCCGUGCUGAUCAGAAAGUGGCGAUGAGAGAGGAGAGACGAUUUUAAGAAUACCGGAGCCAGUGCUGUGGCAUAGCGGGUAAAGCUAU